rnacentral:rRNA from 1 species
ACGCUCGACACCUACGGGGGCAGCAGUUGGGAAUAUUGGACAAUGGAGGAAACUCUGAUCCAGUGACGCCGCGUGAAGGAAGAAGGUCUUCGGAUUGUAAACUUAUUUUGUCAGGGAAGAAAAAUGACUGUACCUGAAGAAAAAGCACCGGCUAACUACGUGCCAACAGCCGCGGUAAUCUGAGCGGGCUGGCAAGGC